UCAAGGCUGGUGGACGACACGUCUGCCGCAAGCGGCGCUGCGGUUUUUCCAGCGGCAGCAGCAGACAAUAGCACAGGGAGGAGGCAGCAUCAGGCUCCCUCUCCGGCCAGAAUCCGGGAAUGCGCCUCAAAAUCAGCUCCAAAAUCCUCCAGCAGAUCCAAAAAUAUAGUUUCAAAAGGAGGAUCGAGGAAUAAGGUAGUAAACGAGGGGCUUUAGGGCCGCUGUCGUGAGGGAGGAGAUCGAGAGAUGCGACGUUGCAGCUGUUUACCCAGAUGGUGCUGAAACGGAUGCUGGCAAUGCCAACAGGGCGGAUGCUAGCAGAGAAGAAGAUACAGAGGAGAUAUUUCACCAGAUUCUCAAACCCGUAGUUCGUCGAAGCAGAGAAGAAGAUACAGAGGAUAUAUUUCACCAGAUUCUCAAACCCGUAGUUCGUCGUAGCAGAGAAUAAGAUACAGAGGAGAUAUUUCACCAGAUUCUCAAACCCGUAGUUCGUCGUUAGGUGUAUCCCUGCCUCAAAGGCCUGUCUUCCCAACAUAUUGGGUCAUACCGGCUCCAGCACCGCGUGUUUGGUGAAAGGGAAAACGAAGAAACUGGGAGGGGAGUCGGUGAAAGCUUCAGCGGGCUACUGCAGGGACAGAAGAGGGGAAUACGUGGGCUGCGGGCCGGGCCUUAGUCUGUGGAGCGAGGGUUGCUUGCAGACUGAACUCUGCACUUCCACCUACAUAAGAAACUGAAGAGAAGCAUCAGCAAGAUGCACACGGCUGACAGCGCGGAGGCCGAGCCGGAGCCGUCUAUCGGGACCAUAGAGGCAGAGUUCGUGACACAGCAAGACGAGGGCCUUGAGGACGAAUUGGAGAGACUGGUGGAUGAGAAUGAAGAUCUAAAGAUGGAGAUCGAGGAGAUGAGGACGGAGAUGGACGAGAUGCGUGACACCUUCUACGAGGAGGACACGUGCCAGCUGCAGGAAAUGAGACGCGAGCUGGAGCGAGCCAAUAAGAACUGCCGGAUCCUCCAGUACCGGCUGAGGAAGGCUGAGAGGAAGAAGCUGCGCUAUGCCCAGACUGGAGAGAUCGACGAGGAACUACUGAGGAGCCUGGAGCAGGACUUGAAGGUAGCGAAGGAUGUGUCUGUGAGACUGCACCAUGAGUUGGAGAAUGUGGAGGAGAAACGCACAAAGACAGAGGACGAAAACGAGAAACUGAGGCAGAAACUCAUCGAGGUGGAGGUGACCAAACAGGCCCUUCAGAAUGAGCUGGACAAAGUCAAGGAGUCUCAGAAGAGAAGAGGAAGCAAGGAGGUCCAAAAGUCAGACAAGAAGUCUGCCCAGACCCCAACAGAGGAUGACAACGAUGAUCUCAAGUGCCAGCUGGCCUUCAUUAAGGAAGAGGCUGUAUUGUUGAGGAAGAAGACAGCUAAGAUCGACAAGGAGAAGGACCGGCUGGAGACGGAGCUACAGAAGUACCGCUCCUUCUAUGGGGACCUGGACAGCCCCCACCCCAAGGGUGAGGCCUGGGGACCCCCCACCACCCGUGAGUCCGAGCUGAAGCUGCGUCUGCGCCUGGUGGAGGAGGAGGCUAACAUCCUGGGGAGGAAGAUCGUGGAGCUGGAGGUGGAGAACCGGGGUCUGAGGGCGGAGCUGGACGACCUCAGGGGUGAAGGGGAGGGAGAAGGCGGGUCCGGUGGGGGGGCUGUGGGUGGGAUGGGGGCUGGCCGGGGCCAUGGGGAGGCUAUGACAGAGCUGAGGCAGCAGCUGCAGCUGGUGGAGGAUGAGGCAGAGCUCCUGAGGAGGAACCUGGCCGACGCUGAAGAUCACAACAAGAGAGUGACGGGAGAACUCAACAAGCUCAGGUUUAAGGCCGGGACCCACGAGGGAGGGGCAAGGCAUGGAGGAGUGGCGGCAGGAGGAGUAUGUUCGGAGAAGGCUGAGGCACUGCAGGAGGAACUGAAGACGGCCCGGCUACAGAUUAAUGAUCUUAGUGGGAAGGUGAUGCAGCUGCAGUAUGAGAAGCGUGUUCUGCUCUCCAACAUGCAGCGCUACGACCUGGCCUCCCACCUGGCCCUAAGGGGGGGCAUCAGCCCUCGGGACAGCGAUGCAGAAAGUGACGCAGGAGGGAUCGGACCAAGCGGGCGCCGCGAAAGCGAUGAUGACUCCUCCUCCUCUCGCCUCCAGCCCCCGCAUCGCAAACGCGAGGGCCCAGUGGGCGGGGAGAGUGACUCGGACGAGGUGCGGAACCAAACCCGCUGCCUCACGCCUACCCGAGGUCUCUAUACCCCACCCCCUGAGACCGCCGCCCGCUUCCUGCCCCGCAACCUACAGGAUCGCCAGCAGAUGAUUGACAUUCGAGUGGAGGCGGAGCGUCUUGGCAGGACCAUCGACCGGCUCAUCGCCGACACGGCAACUAUAAUCGCAGAGGCACGGGUGUACGUUUCCAACAGCGACCUGUAUGGGCGGGGUGAGGAGGAGGGUGGGAGGAUCAGGGAGCAUGAGCUGCUGUACAGGAUCAAUGCCCAGAUGAAGGCCUUCAGGAAGGAGCUACAGGGCUUCAUAGACAGACUGGAGGUGCCCAAACCUGAGGACAGGGAGGAGGAACCACUGUCGAUGUUUCAGCCCAUCAUUUUACUCAUCCUCAUUCUAGUCUUAUUCUCCUCCCACUCCUAUGCCACCAUCUUUAAACUUGUCUUUCUGUUUACCCUUUUCUUCGUCCUGUGAUCCCGCCUCCCUCAAUAGCAUAGCCACAUCCUUUGUUUGUUUGUUUGUGUUAUUUUUUUUAACAUUUGUUGCCAAGGUCACCGAACAGGAGCCUCCCUCUUCAAGCACAGGUCACAGUCACAUAACAGGAUAUAUGCUUAGGUUCAACACUGGAGACUACUUUUCCCAACACCCAACACUUCCUUCAUCACCCCCAAGAAAAGUGUUCCUCUAACAUUUCCACACCUUGGUGACCCCUUAAAGACAAACAGCUAGGAAGUUGAAAAAGAAAGGAAGUUAGGAAGUUUAAAAAGAAGAAGGAAGAAGAAGUUGUUGGUGGAAGAAAAGAAAGUUGUGACAGGAAGUAAAAAGUUGCUGCAGGAAGCGGCCCAAAAUGGCGGCCACCGAACUUCAGCGCGGUCUGGAGCAGGCUGGGCGGGGCUGGGGAACAGAGAGGGGGGAGCUUCUGGACAGCUUCGACUCAGAGAUGCAGGAAUGGGAGGACCAGCUGCAGGACAUGCAGAGGAAGAUAGAGGAGCUUUACAAUGAGGUGCAGGCUCGUAGAGGGGGAAAUGAUGUCACCAUGGGCAACGGCAAAAAUGAUAGGAUGCACCAUGGCAAUGGCUUCUGUGACCGGCCUGGCAGCCAUAGCAACAGAACCAAGGACCACCCAAGAGCUGUUGUAGUGCCAAAUCACUGUAGCAAUGGUUGUAGUCACGGACCCAAUGGUUAUGGCGAACCUGUCAACCAUCAGAUUGGUGGCUAUUAUCCAAAUUGCAACGGUGCGGUGGAACUUGAAGACUUGUUGCAGGAUUAUCUUGGACAUGGUCACGGAAAGACCUGGAAGACCAACUCAGCUCUCAACAAUGUAACCCUUGUCCCACUUCUCUCUCAGCAUCUGAAGGAGAUCACUAAAGGGAGCCAGGAUCAGUCUGUGCACCAGGAUGCGAUGAAGAGGAGGCCUGUUGAGAAUGAGAGGAUUGGUCAGGUGCGGUUUGCGGACGAGGAGGCUGAAAACAGGAAGAACAGAGUGUCACACAGAAAGAGUUCCCCCUGCAGGGACCUUAACAAGCCCCCUCAUAGACAGAGAGAAGGCCCUCCCGUACCCCCCCGCUCCACCUCCCAGGUUGCCUCAUCCGAGACUUCCCCAGCGCUCGACAGAAAGUCCCACUCCCAUGGGGUCCUUGUGGACAAGACGUGUGGUAGCCCCUCGGUCCUCAGGAAGUUUGGGGCCAUGCUCCAGAAGAACGAGGGGAAAACCCUCACCGACACCGGUGUGGUGACCAACCAGGUGCCUAUCGAGAACAAGUGCCCCACCCCCGUCUGUCAGCGCAAAGAGCUGGGCGGCAGCAGGGUGCCUGGGCGCUUGCCUGCCCAGAAAUGCCAGGCGGAUUCCAUCAUGCUUACAGUGGAGAUGGAUCCCAGCAAGGAACGAGGAUCUGGUGGGGCAGUGAGAGACUAUAGGAGAGAGAGCCAGCUUGGUGAGGGUAGAGGCACUUCAAUGGGUAGCUAUGCUCACCCUAAAGGACCCCAGGCAGGGCGUCAGAGGAGGACCGAGGCCAAAGCAAGGGCCCUCGGAGGGGCAGACAGAGAGACAGACAUUGGUCUGGUCCAGGGGGAGAGGGCCAGGAGGCCUGCAUACCAGCCUAGGGAGCCCAUACUGGACUACAGGAACUUGAGUGGGUCCCAUGUUGGAGCUCAGAGGAUUCAGAGGGGAGGGCCAGUUGCAGGUCAGAAUAAGGACGAUGGACUCAUUGAGCUACUGGAUAUGCUGGACAUCGAGCACGAGUACAACUCUAGCCCCCGAGCCACAAAGACUGCCUACAGAAAUGACACACAGAAGGUGAGCCCAGCUGAGUUGUCCCCAGCAACCCCGUCACUGAACUUCUCUCGUCCUGCCCGCCCAGCCAAUCAACGCCCUCCAUCCAGGUGGGCUAGCUGUGCUCCCACUGCCUUGAUCUCUGCCCCCUCCGGUCCAAUGUCCCGCGCCCCAAGCCCCUUGGCACACACCCCUAGCCCCAUAGCAAGAACCCCAAGCCCCGCCCUAAAGCAGAAAUCUUUCUGCUCCUAUUUGCUCCACACCGAGACUGCCAUCAUGUGAGAGACACGUUCCCCGACCCCCUUUUAACCCCGCCUCCCCUCCCCCAAUUUAACCCCACGGGGUAUUUCUCUGGAAAUACUAAAGACUGUUCUUUCAAUCCGUCUUGAAAAAAAGUGCUUUAAAAGAUUUUCUAUGAGAUUACUUAGAAUGAUUUACACAUAUAAGAAACAAAAUGGUUGACUCCUAUUCAGUCUCCAGUGUUACUGUGGCCUUCCUUUCUCCUGUGCCAAACUUCUUUACUUUUGGUUUCUGUCACUCUCUUUUACUUCCCUUCUAUUCUUUCGUUUUCUCUUUCUUUUUUAUUGAUGAUUUUUGGAUGGCUGUGUAUAUUGCGAUACAGCAUGACCCCCUUACUUGCGAGUGCGUGUCCCUGUGUGUGUGUGUGUGUGUGUGUGUGUGUGUGUGUGUGUGUGUGUGUGUGUGUGUGUGUGUGUGUGUGUGUGUGUGUGUGUGUGUGUGUGUGUGUGUGUGUGUCAAUCCUAAUGAGUGCCAUGUCGGCUUGUUUUUAAAAACGAGUUGGCCGUGUCCUGUCACCACAGCAGCAACAUGCUAACUGUCUAUAGUGUGUUUUACUGUGUCAUAUUAUCAAAAUAACACAUUUGAAACUGUUCAAGUAACCAUAGUAAGACAUACAGUUAUGACUAUGUAAUGCUUCUGCUGUCCUUUUUUCUCUCUUGAUAAUAAAUAAACACAACAGUGCUUUAAUAAACUGAUCCGUCUAUCUGUA